GCAAAAAACUAAUGUCUACACAGCCCUUCUUGUUGUGGUACUCUUCGGUGCUGCUAUGGUCAUUGGUGAUGGUGUGCUCACUCCAGCAGUAGCAGUUCUUUCAUCAGUUUCUGGGCUUCAAGUUACUGAAAAAAAUUAACUAGUGGUGCACUUGUCGUGCUUGCUUGUGUCAUAUUGGUCGGCCUAUUUGCUCUGCAACAUGUUGGUAUGCACAGGGUAGCUUUUCUGUUUGCGCCGAUCGUGAUCAUCCGGCUGAUUUCAAUUUUUUCCAUUGGCUUGUACAACAUAAUACAUUGGAACCCUAAGAUUGUUCAUGCAAUUUCUCCGUAUUA